GGCCUAUCAGCUUGUUGGUGGGGUGAUGGCCUACCAAGGCGACGACGGGUAGCCGGCCUGNAGAGGGUGAUCGGCCACAUUGGGACUGAGAUACGGCCCAGACUCCUACGGGGAGGCAGCAGUGGGGAAUAUUGCACAAUGGGCGGAAGCCUGAUGCAGCGACGCCGCGUGAGGGAUGACGGCCUUCGGGUUGUAAACCUCUCAGCAGGGACGAAGCGUAAGUGACGGUACCUGCAGAAGAAGCACCGGCUAACUAUGUGCCAGCAGCCGCGGUAAUACGUAGGGUGCGAGCGUUGUCCGGAAUUACUGGGCGUAAAGAGCUCGUAGGCGGUUUGUCACGUCGUCUGUGAAAUCCUAGGGCUUAACCCUGGACGUGCAGGCGAUACGGGCUGACUUGAGUACUACAGGGGAGACUGGAAUUUCUGGUGUAGCGGUGGAAUGCACAGAUAUCAGGAAGAACACCGAUGGCGAAGGCAGGUCUCUGGGUAGUAACUGACGCUGAGGAGCGAAAGCAUGGGUAGCGAACAGGAUUAGAUACCCUGGUAGUCCAUGCCGUAAACGGUGGGCGCUAGGUGUGGGGUUCCUUCCACGGGCUCCGCGCCGUAGCUAACGCAUUAAGCGCCCCGCCUGGGGAGUACGG
rnacentral:rRNA from 1 species